UAGAGUGGCAAACGGGUGAAGUAACACGUGGGUGACCUGCCUUCGAGUGGGGGAUAACGUCCCGAAAGGGACGCUAAUACCGCAUGACAUCCUGCYUUWGAARGAGCGGAGAUCAAAGCURGGGAUCGCAAGACCURGCGCUUGAAGAGGGGCCCGCGCCUGAUUAGCUAGUUGGUGAGGUAACGGCUCACCAAGGCKACGAUCAGUAUCCGGCCUGAGAGGGCGGACGGACACACUGGGACUGAGACACGGCCCAGACUCCUACGGGAGGCAGCAGUGGGGAAUUGUUCGCAAUGGGCGCAAGCCUGACGACGCAACGCCGCGUGGAGGACGAAGAUCUUCGGGUCGUAAACUCCUGUCGAGCGGGACGAACGCUUCGCGGAUGAAUACUCCGCGGAAUUGACGGUACCGCUAAAGGAAGCCCCGGCUAACUCCGUGCCAGCAGCCGCGGUAAUACGGGGGGGGCAAGCGUUGUUCGGAAUUACUGGGCGUAAAGGGCUCGUAGGCGGCCAACUAAGUCAGACGUGAAAUCCCUAGGCUCAACCUAGGAACUGCGUCUGAUACUGGAUGGCUUGAAUCCGGGAGAGGGAUGCAGAAUUCCAGGUGUAGCGGUGAAAUGCGUAGAUAUCUGGAGGAAUACCGGUGGCGAAGGCGGCAUCCUGGACCGGCAUUGACGCUGAGGAGCGAAAGCCAGGGGAGCAAACG
rnacentral:rRNA from 1 species